ensembl:lncRNA
GUGUGUAUGGUGUGUGUGUAUGUUGUGGUGUGUAUGGUGUGGUGUGUAUGGUGUGGUGUGUACGGUGUGGUGUGUACGGUGUGGUGUGUACGGUGUGGUGUGAAUGGUGUGGUGUGUAUGGUGUGGUGUGUAUGGUGUGGUGUGUAUGGUGUGGUGUGUAUGGUGUGGUGUGUAUGGUGUGGUGUGUAUGGUGUGGUGUGUACAUAUACAGUAUGUUAAUAUGUGUCUGUUACAAAAUACAUUCCUGUUAUGAUAGCUUUCCUCAUAGCUUUCAUAACUCAUUUCAUCAUGUUUCUGGCACUGCUGCUUGCACUCUGCACAUCCUACUGAAUGUAGCUAUCGUGAUAUACUCUACCAUUCGCUGCCAUACAUAUUGUGCUAACAUGAUGUUAAUGUGUAUAUUAUGAAUUCAAUGGUUCAAUGGGCGCUCUUGUGUAUUAAUUAAUUGUCUUAGUAUGUAAAUGUUCAACUGUACAGGAUAAUUUUUUCUUCUUAAAUAAUUACAUUUCUUGGUCCAACAACCUAGAAAGUUUAAGACUAGCCUCCCUCCUUGUCCACUGUACAAAAACCUGACGCCCCACACCCCUACAAAACCCCCAGUGUGUAUGAGAGAGCGAGAGAGAGGGAGAGAGAGAGAGAGAGUGAGAGAGAAGAGAGAGAGAGAGAAGAGAGAAGGAGAGAAGAGAGAGAGAGAGAGAAAGAGAGAGAGAGAGAGAGAGAGAGAGAGAGAGAGAGAGAGAGAGAGAGAGAGUGAGAGAGUGAGAGAGAGAGAGAGAGAGAGAGAGAGAGAGAGAGAGAGAGACUGUAUAAAUGAGUGUUUUUUUUCUUCCUUAUUAUGUUGUAAUAAAGAGUCACUCAAGCUUUGAGCAACUAAAAUAAAAUAUGUUUUUAUUUUAAAGGGAAUCUGUGACUAUAUUUUUGCGCCAUUGAAAAAUGAGAAGAGUCUUAUAUUCUCAGUUGGGGUUUUUUCUUCCUCAAAGACAUAAAGUCACUUUCUGUGUGUGUAUAUCAACCUCACUGUAUGUAUUCUGUGUGUGUUUAUACUAUGGGUAUUUCUGUGUUCUUCUUCUUGGUGGAAACUACAUUUCCCACGACACAAC